GAACAACUCUCAGCAACGGAUAUCUUGGCUCUUGCAUCGAUGAAGAACGCAGCGAAAUGCGAUACGUAGUGUGAAUUGCAGAAUUCCGCGAAUCAUCGAGUCUUUGAACGCAAGUUGCGCCCGAGGCUUGUCCGAGGGCAUUUCCGCUAGAGCGUCACC
rnacentral:rRNA from 1 species